ACCUCGUUUGGUAUUUUUUUGAUUGAAGACCUUGACAAAUUCAAUGACCUGAUGCAUGUCAACUGCUUGAAUAAAUCAGGUAGUGCAACUCCAAGCGAAGGGUCUCUAGUGUCGAUCAAGAGGCUGCGAAGACCUUUUGCUUUGUGAAUGGACACGGGAAAAGAGGUCUCUUUUGACAGCAUCAUGCUUAAAUGACGAACCCUUUCAAUUGAAGUCUCCACUGUUGCUUCUCGAAGGUUUUUGACAUCCACUGUUAGACAUUCA
rnacentral:lncRNA from 1 species